GACGUAGGAUGCAAGCGUUGUCCGGAAUUAUUGGGCGUAAAGAGUUCGUAGGCGGUUACCCAAGUCUGGUGUUAAAUCCCGAAGCUUAACUUCGGCAUGGCAUUGGAAACUAGGUGGCUAGAGUGUGGUAGAGGUAAAGGGAAUUCCAGGUGUAGCGGUGAAAUGCGUAGAUAUCUGGAGGAACACCGGCGGCGAAAGCGCUUUACUGGGCCAUAACUGACGCUGAGGAACGAAAGCCAGGGUAGCAAAAGGG
rnacentral:rRNA from 1 species